rnacentral:rRNA from 1 species
AGAGUUUGAUUAUGGCUCAGGAUGAACGCUGGCGGCGUGCUUAACACAUGCAAGUCGAACGAUGAUGCCCAGCUUGCUGGGUGGAUUAGUGGCGAACGGGUGAGUAACACGUGAGUAACCUGCCCUUGACUCUGGGAUAAGCCUGGGAAACCGGGUCUAAUACCGGAUAUGACCAUUCCGUGCAUGCGGUGGUGGUGGAAAGCUUUUGCGGUUUUGGAUGGACUCGCGGCCUAUCAGCUUGUUGGUGGGGUAAUGGCCUACCAAGGCGACGACGGGUAGCCGGCCUGAGAGGGUGACCGGCCACACUGGGACUGAGACACGGCCCAGACUCCUACGGGAGGCAGCAGUGGGGAAUAUUGCACAAUGGGCGCAAGCCUGAUGCAGCGACGCCGCGUGAGGGAUGAAGGCCUUCGGGUUGUAAACCUCUUUCAGUAGGGAAGAAGCGUAAGUGACGGUACCUGCAGAAGAAGCGCCGGCUAACUACGUGCCAGCAGCCGCGGUAAUACGUAGGGCGCAAGCGUUAUCCGGAAUUAUUGGGCGUAAAGAGCUCGUAGGCGGUUUGUCGCGUCUGCCGUGAAAGUCCGGGGCUCAACUCCGGAUCUGCGGUGGGUACGGGCAGACUAGAGUGAUGUAGGGGAGACUGGAAUUCCUGGUGUAGCGGUGAAAUGCGCAGAUAUCAGGAGGAACACCGAUGGCGAAGGCAGGUCUCUGGGCAUUAACUGACGCUGAGGAGCGAAAGCAUGGGGAGCGAACAGGAUUAGAUACCCUGGUAGUCCAUGCCGUAAACGUUGGGCACUAGGUGUGGGGGACAUUCCACGUUUUCCGCGCCGUAGCUAACGCAUUAAGUGCCCCGCCUGGGGAGUACGGCCGCAAGGCUAAAACUCAAAUGAAUUGACGGGG